rnacentral:rRNA from 1 species
AUGGCAGAAGACGGCUGGAGCAGCUACUCACGGCUAGCUGUCGUAGGUGCGGCACUCGUCGGUCUCGGGGUUGUCCUCGCAGAACUCCUCCAGCGGGUCGCUGUGCUCCUUCUUGCGGUCGCGCGCGUGGCUGGCCGCCGCGCUGAGCUCCUCCACCUCGUCCCACGCCGCCACGCACUCGCCGCCCUCCGGGUCCCCCGCGCACGUCUCCUCCGCCUGCUUGAUGCUCUCUGUCACCUUCUGCGCCAGCUCCGGGGGCGUGGACGGCGAGCCCGCCACGGCCACCAGCCGCCGGCCGUGCGCGCGCAUCGCCCGGGCCGCGAACGACACGACGUCCGGGCGAGAUGGCAGCGUGGCCGAGGGCUGCGCAACGGUUCUGGGAGCCGGAAAGGUGGCCAUGAAGGCCAUGGUGGUGAUGGUGGCCAUGGCUUCGCACUUGGUUCGCAGGAGGGUGGAAGAGAAGGUUUUGGUUGUGGUCUGGCCGUUUGGGGUACGCCAUUUUUAUGUGGCUCUCCGCUGCUUAUCUUUUGGGGACCAAUCCCGUUGUGA